UACGGAGGGUGCAAGCGUUAUCCGGAUUCACUGGGUUUAAAGGGUGCGUAGGCGGGUAGGUAAGUCAGUGGUGAAAUCUUCGAGCUUAACUCGGAAAACUGCCUUUGAUACUAUCUAUCUUGAAUAUUGUGGAGGUAAGCGGAAUAUGUCAUGUAGCGGUGAAAUGCUUAGAUAUGACAUAGAACACCUAUUGCGAAGGCAGCUUACUACGCAUAUAUUGACGCUGAGGCACGAAAGCGUGGGGAUCAAACAGG
rnacentral:rRNA from 1 species